UCUUCUUCCCUAAUCCCAGUACCCUGAUGACAUGCUGCGUUUGCUCUAUGGACUAAACUUCAGAACCACGUAACAUUUACAACACCCAGUCCUAAAAGCACAUGAAAAAUACACCUGGUUCUGGGAUUUGGCACAAACUCAGCCCAGGUUCACCGAAAGGUUUGUGACCCUUUUGAGCACAGCUGGGACCAAGUUACAGUUUUGCACCAUACUUCGUGGCUCAAACAAAGAGAUCUGAUUGCACUCCGAAGCUUUGACCAAGAUGCACUUGGAGAGUUAUGAGUUCAUACUCUCAGUCAUAAACUUGGUUCCAAACUCAGGGACUGCAAUCUGCCCUGAACGAGAGCAGAUGGAGCAUCUGCAGUCACCAGGAUUUCAGAAAGGAUCAACCUGAAUCUGGUAGCAGUGACCUGACAGCCAGCCUGACCGCUACCAACGGUGAGAUGGCCAGGAGUAUGCCAGCAGUGCAGUUCAAACCAGGACUCACUUCGAAGCAAAUCUCCCAUCAUUCCCACUGUCCGUGUGCUGGUCUGCAACUUGGAGCAGCCUUUGAGCUGGCAGAAUGGAUUCCUUUUGGCUCAAAUUGAACACGCCAACGUGCCUGAGGGGGACACCUCACACUCCUUCAUGUUGUAGGACCUAAUCAGAGCCAAUCCUAGACAGGAGCCCCCACCAUGCUGCUAUGUGGAUGUCUUCAGCACCCACUGCUUCACCCUCCAGCCCCAUUCUAUCUGCCAGCGUGGGCACAGCCCCCUUGAAACUGGGGCCUGGCUGCACAAGAACCAGAGUGCAGGAUAGCAGCAGUACCCAGUUCCUCAGGCUGUCUGUUUAUGAGCACCCUCUGCUGGAUAUCACCAGGCUUUCUUCCAUCCAGGCCAGCUUUGCUAGCACACUACCUUGGCCAAAUCAGCAAGAAAGUGGGGGUCAGAGGCAGGGGGCCUGCCUUAAGCAUCCCCAGGAAGCCCCCUAUAUACAGUCCCCCUGUAUCCUGCUGCAUUGCUCCUCCCCAUGAGGAGAGGAACUGUAAGUGCUCUGAUGCUGCCAAGUUUCCUGCUGGGCCACAUGAGGGCCUGCAGAGCCCACCUACCCACUGCAGCGCACAUGGUGCACGAUUGUCAUCUCAGAUCUACGGUCAGAGAAGAUGAUGGCCACGCUUGCCACACAUCGACCCGCAAGUGAUUAGAAGCUCUUGGUCACCUCUGACUCCAGCCAUGUUUACAGACAGCUCUUGAUGCAGAGGUGCUUGGGAACAUGAAGCUCUAACUCAGCAUCCAUCCCCAGAGCGGAGGCCAGGCCGGCAGAGAAUCGCACAUCUUCUACCCAAAGGGAGCCAGCGGGUCCCCAUGAGCAGCAGCCUUCUGCGGUCACCUCGAGUGGCAGAGGAAGCGACACCGCAAAACUCACAACUGCUGGAGCGGUUCUGCACUCCAGCGCCAUGCCAGCCAACGUCAGCUGUGGUAAAGCAGACGAAAAGGCAUGAAACCCCAUUGCCUGCCAGAGAACAAAGUCUCCCACUCAUUCCUUCAGAAAGUUAAAGCGAACUCCGGGAACAUAACACCGCUGAUAAUUAAAUAGCGCCUUCCAUCAAAAGGCUCCGAACCACCCAGCAAACCGGCCAAGCUGUUAAGGUAGGGCUGCUGGAGAGGGACACAGCAGCAGCUUAGAAGGACACAGGAACACAGAGCACCAGUUCAGGAAACAAAACAUUUCUACCCAAACUACAGAAGGGAAUUACUGUGCGUUUUACAUCACGUGCUCCACAGCAAGACCUGGGAGGAUUAGCAGGAGCGCCAGGAGACCUCCGCCAGUCACACACGCUUUUAUAUCCCCCCAGUAAGACUGUCUUUCCCAUGGCACAACACCGAAUUGUAUUUUUUCACUCCUGCAGCACUGGUACAGCACCUAUGAGGGGGAAUAUUAAAUAAAAUAAAUCUCCUACUCG
rnacentral:lncRNA from 7 species